rnacentral:rRNA from 1 species
AGAGUUUGAUCCUGGCUCAGAAUGAACGCUGGCGGCGUGCCUAACACAUGCAAGUCGGAUGUGCCCGCAAGGUGCAUGGCAGACGGGUGAGUAACGCGUGGGGAAUCUACCUCUUUGUGGGGAAUAACGCUCCGAAAGGAGUGGUAAUACCGCAUGAGACCGUGAGCUGGGAUGUCCACGGUGAAACCUGGGGACCGCAAGGCCUGGGGCAAGAAGAGGAUCCUGCGUCUGAUUAGCUAGUUGGCGGGGUAAUGGCCCACCAAGGCGACGAUCAGUAGCCGGCCUGAGAGGGUGAUCGGCCACACUGGACCUGAGACACGGUCCAGACUCCUACGGGAGGCAGCAGUGGGGAAUUUUGCGCAAUGGACGAAAGUCUGACGCAGCAACGCCGCGUGGGUGAUGAAGGUCUUCGGAUCGUAAAACCCUGUCGUCAGGGACGAAGGU